GAUUAAGUGUCGUAAGGGCAUUUGGUGGAUGCCUUGGCAUGCACAGGCGAAGAAGGACGUGAUACGCUGCGAAAAGCCGUGGGGAGCUGCGAAUAAGCUUUGAUCCAUGGAUAUCCGAAUGGGGAAACCCACCUUAAAUGCUUGGGAAAUCAUUUUGGUUGUUGGCUCUUUGAGCCAACGGUACGGCGAACGAUCGCCGACGGACUAUCGUCCUGUAUGGGAGUUUCCCUUACAGCGCGGUAGCGCGUCGCCGCUCGUGCGGCGUGCUUCAAAACCAAAGUGGUUUCCAAGCAUUGUGAUAAGGUAUCUAACCUUGAAUACAUAGGGGUUAGAAGCGAACGCAGGGAACUGAAACAUCUAAGUACCUGCAGGAAAGGACAUCAACCGAGACUCCGCAAGUAGUGGCGAGCGAACGCGGACCAGGCCAGUGGCAAUGAGGAAUAAAGCUGAACAGGUUGGAAAACCUGGCUAUAGUGGGUGAUAGCCCCGUAAGCGUAGAACACUCAUUGUCCUAGAGUAAGGCGGGACACGUGAAAUCCUGUCUGAACAUGGGGAGACCACUCUCCAAGCCUAAGUACUCGUGCAUGACCGAUAGCGAACAAGUACCGUGAGGGAAAGGUGAAAAGCACCCCGACAAGGGGAGUGAAAUAGAACCUGAAACCGGAUGCCUACAAGCAGUCGGAGGGCGCAAGCCUGACGGCGUACCUUUUGUAUAAUGGGUCAACGACUUAGUGUAACUAGCAAGCUUAAGCCGGUAGGUGUAGGCGCAGCGAAAGCGAGUCUGAAUAGGGCGUUUAGUUAGUUGCAUUAGACCCGAAACCGAGUGAUCUAGCCAUGAGCAGGCUGAAGGUUGGGUAACACCAACUGGAGGGCCGAACCCGCAUCUGUUGCAAUAGAUUGGGAUGACUUGUGGCUAGGGGUGAAAGGCCAAUCAAACUCGGARAUAGCUGGUUCUCCGCGAAAUCUAUUUAGGUAGAGCGUCGASCGAAUACCCCAGGGGGUAGAGCACUGGAUGGGCUAUGGGGACUCACCGUCUUACUGAUCCUAACCAAACUCCGAAUACCYGGGAGUACUAGUCGGCAGACACACGGCGGGUGCUAACGUCCGUCGUGAARAGGGMAACAACCCURACCWYCAKCUAAGGYCCCCAAGUCAUGGCUAAGUGGGAAAGGAUGUGAGGAUCCCAAAACAACCAGGAUGUUGGCUUAGAAGCAGCCAUCMUUUAAAGAAAGCGUAACAGCUCACUGGUCUAAAUAAGGGUCUUUGCGCCGAAAAUGUAACGGGGCUAAAGCCAUGCACCGAAGCUGAGGAUGUGGAUUUAUCCACGUGGUAGCGGAGCGUUCCGUAAGCCUGUGAAGGGGUACCCGUGAGGGGCCCUGGAGGUAUCGGAAGUGCGAAUGUUGACAUGAGUAACGAUAAAGGGGGUGAGAGACCCCCUCGCCGAAAGACCAAGGGUUCCUGCUUAAAGUUAAUCUGAGCAGGGUUAGCCGGCCCCUAAGAUGAGGCAGAAAUGCGUAGUCGAUGGGAACCACGUUAAUAUUCGUGGGCCUGGUGGUAGUGACGGAUUGCGUAACUUGUUCAGACUUAUUGGAUUGUCUGGGCGAGGAAGCGGUUCCAGGAAAUAGCUCCACCGUACAGACCGUACCCGAAACCGACACAGGUGGUCAGGUAGAGUAUACCAAGGCGCUUGAGAGAACUAUGUUGAAGGAACUCGGCAAAUUGCACGCGUAACUUCGGAAGAAGCGUGACCCCUUUGUACGCAAGUAUGAUGGGGUGGCACAGACCAGGGGGUAGCGACUGUUUAUCAAAAACACAGGGCUCUGCGAAGUCGCAAGRCGACGUAUAGGGUCUGACGCCUGCCCGGUGCUGGAAGGUUAAGAGGAGAGGUGCAAGCUUUGAAUCGAAGCCCCAGUAAACGGCGGCCGUAACUAUAACGGUCCUAAGGUAGCGAAAUUCCUUGUCGGGUAAGUUCCGACCUGCACGAAUGGCGUAACGACUUCCCCGCUGUCUCCAACAUAGACUCAGUGAAAUUGAAUUCCCCGUGAAGAUGCGGGGUUCCUGCGGUCAGACGGAAAGACCCCGUGCACCUUUACUAUAGCUUUACACUGGCAUUCGUGUCGGCAUGUGUAGGAUAGGUGGUAGGCUUUGAAGYGGGGACGCCAGCUCUCAUGGAGCCAUCCUUGAAAUACCACCCUUAUCGUCAUGACUGUCUAACCGCGGUCCUUCUAGCAGGAUCCGGGACAGUGUAUGGUGGGUAGUUUGACUGGGGCGGUCGCCUCC
rnacentral:rRNA from 1 species